rnacentral:rRNA from 1 species
CUCAGGACGACGCUGGCGGCGUGCCUAAUACAUGCAAGUCGAACGGUCUUUCUAUGGAAGCUUGCUUCCACUGAGAAGAAUAGUGGCGAAACGGGGUGAGGUAACAACGUGGGUAACCUACCCAUAAGAGGGGGAUAACAUCCGGAAACGGGUGCUAAUACCGCAUAGUUUUCUUGAUCGCAUGAUCGGGAAAGGAAAGACGGCCUUUGUGCUGUCGCUUAUGGAUGGACCCGCGGCGUAUUAGUUAGUUGGUGAGGUAACGGCUCACCAAGACGAUGAUACGUAGCCGACCUGAGAGGGUGAUCGGCCACAUUGGGACUGAGACACGGCCCAAACUCCUACGGGAGGCAGCAGUAGGGAAUCUUCCGCAAUGGACGAAAGUCUGACGGAGCAACGCCGCGUGAGUGAAGAAAAGGGUUUUCGGAUCGUAAAACUCUGUUGUCAGAGAAGAACAAGUUGGAGAGUAACUGCUCCAGCCUUGACGGUAUCUGACCAGAAAGCCACGGCUAACUACGUGCCAGCCGCCGC